CUUUAUUGGAGAGUUUGAUCCUGGCUCAGGAUGAACGCUGGCGGCGUGCCUAAUACAUGCAAGUCGAGCGAAUGGAUUGAGAGCUUGCUCU
rnacentral:rRNA from 1 species